UGCAAAAGACAAGAGAGAGAGCAGGGAGAGAGAGAGAGAGAGAAUCUUGUGGUACCCUUGGGACAACUGUGGCAAAAGGCCAAAAUGAAACUGGGUUUUUAAGAUGCAAUGAGACCAUCUCUCUCUCUCUCUCUCUCUCUCUCUCUCUCUCUCUCCCUCCCUCCCUCCCUCCCUCCCUCU